GCAGUCGACGGCAGCACAGUCGUAGCAAUACGGUGGGUGGCGAGUGGCGGACGGGUGAGUAAUGCAUCGGGACCUACCUGAACGUGGGGGAUAACGUAGGGAAACUUACGCUAAUACCGCAUACGUCCUACGGGAGAAAGCGGGGGACCUUCGGGCCUCGCGCGGUCAGACGGACCGAUGUUCGAUUAGCUAGUUGGUAGGGUAAUGGCCUACCAAGGCGACGAUCGAUAGCUGGUCUGAGAGGAUGAUCAGCCACACUGGAACUGAGACACGGUCCAGACUCCUACGGGAGGCAGCAGUGGGGAAUAUUGGACAAUGGGCGCAAGCCUGAUCCAGCAAUGCCGCGUGUGUGAAGAAGGCCUUCGGGUUGUAAAGUACUUUUAUCGGGAGCGAAAUACCAUCGGUUAAUAACCGGUGGGGCUGACGGUACCCGAGGAAUAAGCACCGGCUAACUUCGUGCCAGCAGCCGCGGUAAUACGAAGGGUGCAAGCGUUAAUCGGAAUUACUGGGCGUAAAGGGUGCGUAGGCGGUUUGUUAAGUCUGUCGUGAAAUCCCCGGGCUCAACCUGGGAAUGGCGAUGGAUACUGGCAAGCUAGAGUGUGUCAGAGGAUGGUGGAAUUUCCGGUGUAGCGGUGAAAUGCGUAGAGAUCGGAAGGAACAUCAGUGGCGAAGGCGGCCAUCUGGGACAACACUGACGCUGAAGCACGAAAGCGUGGGGAGCAAGCAGGAUUAGAUACCCUGGUAGUCCACGCCCUAAACGAUGCGAACUGGAUGUUGGUCUCAACUCGGAGAUCAGUGUCGAAGCUAACGCGUUAAGUUCGCCGCCUGGGGAGUACGGUCGCAAGACUGAAACUCAAAGGAAUUGACGGGGGCCCGCACAA
rnacentral:rRNA from 1 species